rnacentral:rRNA from 1 species
UACGUAGGGUGCGAGCGUUGUCCGGAAUUAUUGGGCGUAAAGGGCUCGUAGGCGGUUUGUCGCGUCGGGAGUGAAAACACUGGGCUUAACCGAGUGCUUGCUUCCGAUACGGGCAGACUUGAGGCAUUGAGGGGAGAACGGAAUUCCUGGUGUAGCGGUGAAAUGCGCAGAUAUCAGGAGGAACACCGGUGGCGAAGGCGGUUCUCUGGCAAUGUUCUGACGCUGAGGCGCGAAAGCUAGGGGAGCGAACAGG